UCUCGACUCACCGCAGACUUCGAGCAGC
rnacentral:piRNA from 1 species